rnacentral:sRNA from 1 species
GACGGCAGCACCAUGGACCCCCGCUUGUCCGCCGUCCGCCAGACCUGCUGCUGCUUCAAUGUCCGCAUCGCCACCACCGCCCUGGCCAUCUACCAUGUGAUCAUGAGCGUCCUGUUGUUCAUCGAGCACUCGGUAGAGGUGGCCCAUGGCAAGGCGUCCUGCAAGCUCUCCCAGAUGGGCUACCUCAGGAUCGGUAGGUCCAGGGGACGCCGGUGGAGUGGCGGGGGGAGGAGGACAGGGAGGGCCCUGGCCAGGGAUAGCCAGGCUGGUGUUGGAGGCCCUGCCACCUCUCCAUGGACGAUGGAUGACCUCUGGCAAGUGUCUUCCUUUCUUGGGGCCUCGGCUGUUUCACCUGCAAAUGGGGAUGUUCCACCUGACCCCACCCACAUCUGCAGGUGGUGAGAGCAGAUGGAAUGGCACUUUGCAAACCCCCACCAGCUGGUAAAGGUGACAGCCUCACUCUUCUGCUUAAAGCCAUCAGUGGCUGCUCAUCACACUAGAAUAAAAUAGAAACUCCUCACCAUGGGAUCCAGCCCCUGCCCACCUCUCUGACAGCAUCUCCCUGCGAUUCUUCACCCCACAUCUUGCUCCAGCCACACUGACCUCACCAACCCUGUCCCUGUCUCAGGCCGAUUCCUCAUUGCUCUCAGGCCACUCCCCAGGGAUGCCUUUCUCAGUCUUACCCUGGCUAAAGUGGACCCCAGCCUGCACCUCCAGCCCAGCACCCUCUGUCUCAUCCUCCUGUGCUACGUGUGAUGUUCUGCUUUUGUCUUUGUACCCACUCCAGACUGAGGACUGCAUGAGGGCAGGGCCUGGGCUUUCCUGUGCAUCCUCAUGUCCCCAAACCAGUGGUUCCCCACAUGUGGUCCUGGGAGCCUGGCUGGGGUCCUGGGGGCACCCCUGAGCACCUCACUGCUCUCCUUGCCUUUCAGCCGACCUGAUCUCCAGCUUCCUGCUCAU